rnacentral:tRNA from 1 species
GGAGAGAUGGCCGAGAGGCCGAAGGCGCUCCCCUGCUAAGGGAGUACGUGGUCAAAAGCUGCGUCGAGGGUUCGAAUCCCUCUCUCUCCGCCA